GAUGAACGCUGGCGGCGUGCCUAAUACAUGCAAGUCGAGCGAACGGACGAGAAGCUUGCUUCUCUGAUGUUAGCGGCGGACGGGUGAGUAACACGUGGAUAACCUACCUAUAAGACUGGGAUAACUUCGGGAAGCCGGAGCUAAUACCGGAUAAUAUUUUGAACCGCAUGGUUCAAAAGUGAAAGACGGUCUUGCUGUCACUUAUAGAUGGAUCCGCGCUGCAUUAGCUAGUUGGUAAGGUAACGGCUUACCAAGGCAACGAUGCAUAGCCGACCUGAGAGGGGGAUUCGCCACACUGGAACUGAGACACGGUCCAGACUCCUACGGGAGGCAGCAGUAGGGAAUCUUCCGCAAUGGGCGAAAGCCUGACGGAGCAACGCCGCGUGAGUGAUGAAGGUCUUCGGAUCGUAAAACUCUGUUAUUAGGGAAGAACAUAUGUGUAAGUAACUGUGCACAUCUUGACGGUACCUAAUCAGAAAGCCACGGCUAACUACGUG
rnacentral:rRNA from 1 species